GUGAGUCAUCGAAUCUUUGAACGCACCUUGCGCUCCUUGGUAUUCCGAGGAGCAUGCCUGUUUGAGUGUCAUGGUAUUCUCAAUCCAUUCAAUACUGUCAAAGGUAUUGGAUUGGUAUUGGAUGUGGAGGAUUAUUGCUGGUCUCUUUAUUGAGUAUCAGCUCCUCUGAAAUGCAUUAGUGUGAAUGUUUACCGAGCAUUUUCUCAGUGUGAUAAUUAUCUACGCUGUGGCUUGCUUGGAUCUUAUAAAUUUCAUGCUUCAAACCGUCUGCAUUAGUGGACAAUUUAUUUGACAAUCUGA
rnacentral:misc_RNA from 1 species